AACUCUGCGAAAACAAAAAAAAACAUAGGAACGCGCAAAAGCAAGUCAAUUGGUACUUCAUUUUCUCUUAUAUAAAAAAUAAAAAAUUAAAUAAAGUUUUUGUUGAUAUGAAAUAAAAAUAAAGUUGACAACACAUGAAAAAAGAUCCCGCCCAUAGUCAAAUUUUAAAAAAAAUGUUCUUGACCCCAUGACGUUGAGUAGACUAUGAAAGGACAUAAACCCCACGUGGCGCACUAACUUGACCACCAUUCAACACAAAACACUCUUCACUUCACUCCACUAAGUCAAAAAAUAAUAAUAUAAAAAUAGAUUCAGUUAAUCUCUUCACAUUUUUUCUGCUACUCAUAACAAUUCUCCUGUCCUUCGCCGCCGAUAACAAUCUCCGACGUAAGGAAAGCGUUAGGGUUAGGGUUUUCAUGGAAGGUGUUAUUGGACUUGUGAACAGAAUACAAAGAGCUUGUACGUUACUCGGUGAUUACGGUAACGGUGAUGAUCCAAGUUUGCCUACUCUUUGGGAUGCUCUUCCUACUAUCGUUGUCCUCGGUGGACAGGUUCCGUUCAUCUACACCUAUUUUUACGAGUUUUUUUUUUUUUUUUGGCUAUAUCUGUAAUUUUUAUGUUUAUGUUUGGCUUGGAGUCUGUAUAUGAUUGUUUUUUUGUUUGAUCGAUGGUUGUGACGGUAUAUAUAAAUGUAUGUGGAGUUUAGUUAGUUUUGAUGGUUAAUUUAGCGUUUUCGACCUGUUUUUGAAGUGAUUUGAUUGAAUUAUGGUUUGGUCGGUGUUUGUGAUGGAAUAAAUGUUUUUUAAACCUCUAUUCACAUUUACUCGUCACGUUUUGCUUAUCGAGAGUCAAUUUGACUACUCUUUUAAAUUGAAUUAGAUUAAUUCAAUAUUUUAAUACUAAAAUUUAGGUGUUCAAAAUUUCGAUGGCCAGGUGCACACCUAGUUUUCACUGUUUUUAUGCAAGUUCUGUAUUUUUAAUUUUUCUAUGUGUAUGUCUGCUUUGGUUAAGUGAGAGUCUGUCUAUGAUUGUUUUUUGUUUGAUCAGUGUUUGUGAUGGUAUAAAUGUUGUUUGUGGAGGUUUAUUAGUGUUAAUGGUUAAUUUAGUGUUGUUUCCCUGUUUUCUGAAGUGAUUUGAUUUAAUUAUGGUGUUUUUGUAGAGUUCCAGGAAGUCAUCUCCACCUAUUUUUGUGUGAUUUUGUGAGUUUUUUUUUUUUUUGGUCUAUGGAGCCGUUUGGACAUGGUUUCAAACCAUGAUUUGAAAUCAUGUUUGGACAUGUAAUUUAGAUAUCUUAAGUUGUAUUUUCUUUUAUAGACAUAAAAACCCCACAAGUUGUGAAAAUUAUCAAUACAUUCCCAAUUCUUAUACAAUCUUACCAAAUGAGCAAGUCAUAGUUCAUAACAAAAUGAAUACGCUACUAGAAGGCCUUUCUAUAAAAUACAACAUCAAUUGAUCAAAACUUUAGUUCAAUAAAAAUGAAAAUUUAACAUGAAUAGUGACGUGACCACUCUUUAAUAUAAUCCUCCCACAUGGUAGACACGAAUAAAGGUUAGUGGAAGUUAAUGAGAUUGGUAAAUGGUUGGUGGGAGUAAUCGUUAAAAAUAAUUACCAACUUAUGGGUCUUUUUUUUAUAAAAUAUAAACUUAUGGGUCAAGUUUUAUAUUUAAAUUUUUUUGAAACCAUGAGAUGAAAUGCAUGUCCAAACGCUGGUUUCAUCUCAUGGUUUCAAACCAUGAUUUCAAACCGCAUGUCCAAACGCUUACUAUAUCUAUAAUUUUUAUUGUUUAUGUCUGUUUUGGUGUCUGUAUAUUGUAGUUUUCUGUUUGAUCGGUGUUUGUGAUGGUUUAUAUAUAUGUUCAUGGAGUUUAGUUAGUUUUGAUGGUUAAUUUAGCGUUGUUACCCUGUUUUUUGAAGUGAUUUGAUUGAAUUAUGGUGUUUUCAUCUACGCCUAUUUUUUGUGUUUUUUUAUGUAAAUUUUCUGUCUGUUUUGGUUAUUUUUAAGUGAGAAUGUGUGGAUGAACUUUUGUUUUUUGUUUGAUCGGCGUUUGUGCAUUUUUUUUAUGGAGGUUUAUUAGUUUGAUGGUUAAUUUAGCGUUGUUUCCCUCUUUUUUUGGGAUUAUUUUGAUUCAUCUACACCUAAUUCUCUGUGUUUUUUUUUUGUGAGUUUAUAUGCAUAUCUAUUUUUUCCUGUUUAUAUCUGCUUUGGUUAAGUGAGAGUAUGUGGAUGAUUGUUUUUUGUUUGAUCGGUGUUUGUGAUGGAAUAAAUGUUUUUAUGGAGUUUUGUUAGUUUUGAUGGCUAGUUUCCUGUUCGUCUUUCUAUUCUCCCCGUUCUUGCCAACAUCUCUUUGCUUCAACACUUUCUGCAAGAAAAAUCUACGCCAACUUCUCUUUGCUUCUUCUUCGUGGCCCCCACAAUUCAUCCAAUUGGCCCAGGAUGAGAAAAUUGCUUCAAGAAUGAUUUUCAAAAGAUAGAAUGAGGUGAUCUAUUGAUCAGGUUAUGAUUUAUCAUUAUUUCCUCUUGAACGCGACUUCGGUUGGUUUCAUGGCUGGUGCAACAAUCAUUCUUAUAGUGCAACAACUAAAAGGGUUGCUAGGGGUAGCCCACUUCACAAGCCAGAUACAAAUAGUUCAUGUAUUGUCUUCUUUUCCCUAGCUUUCCAGCACAAAAGAUGAAGAAGCUACCAUGUCAUUGUUGAUCGACAAUUAUUUUUUUCCUUUUACUAUUUGAAUGAAAAAAGGUUGAGAAUUGGCGACA